rnacentral:tRNA from 1 species
GCGCCUAUAGCUCAGUUGGUUAGAGCACCUCGUUUACACCGAGGGGGUCGGGAGUUCGAGUCUCUCUGGGCGCACCA